CAGUCGCCGCGGGAAUACAGAGGAUGCAAGCGUUAUCCGGAAUGAUUGGGCGUAAAGCGUCUGUAGGUGGCUUCUUAAGUCUGAUGUGAAAGCCCCCGGCUCAACCGGGGAGGGUCGUUGGAAACUGGGAAACUUGAGUGCAGAAGAGGAGAGUGGAAUUCCACGUGUAGCGGUGAAAUGCGUAGAGAUGUGGAGGAACACCAGUGGCGAAGGCGACUCUCUGGUCCGUAACUGACGCUGAGGAGCGAAAGCGUGGGGAGCGAACAGGAUUAGAUACCCCCGUAGUCCCUGUCUCUUAUAC
rnacentral:rRNA from 1 species